AUACGUAGGGGGCGAGCGUCGUCCGGAAUGAUUGGGCGUAAAGGGCGCGUAGGCGGCCUGUUAAGUCUGGAGUGAAAGUCCUGUUUUCAAGAUGGGAAUUGCUUUGGAUACUGAUGGGCUUGAGUGCAGGAGAGGUUAUCGGAAUUCCCGGUGUAGCGGUGAAAUGCGUAGAGAUCGGGAGGAACACCAGUGGCGAAGGCGGGUAACUGGACUGCAACUGACGCUGAGGCGCGAAAGUGUGGGGAGCAAACAGGAUUAGAUACCCUGGUAGUCCACACUGUAAACGAUGAAUGCUAGGUGUAAGAGGUAUCGACCCCUUUUGUGCCGGAGUUAACACAAUAAGCAUUCCGCCUGGGGAGUACGGCCGCAAGGUUGAAACUCAAAGGAAUUGACGGGG
rnacentral:rRNA from 1 species